rnacentral:miRNA from 1 species
GGGGGGAGGGCGAGGGUGAGAAAAGCUAGGGCGGGGGGAAUGCGAAGGCGAGAGAAAGACCCAUUUUUCCUCGCUCUCUUUCUCUCGCCUUCGCAUCCCCCCCUUAGCUUCUCCCACCCUCGCCCUCCCCCCU